rnacentral:rRNA from 1 species
CGACCGGCGCACGGGUGAGUAACACGUAUCCAACCUGCCGUCUACUCUUGGACAGCCUUCUGAAAGGAAGAUUAAUACAAGAUGGCAUCAUGAGUCCGCAUGUUCACAUGAUUAAAGGUAUUCCGGUAGACGAUGGGGAUGCGUUCCAUUAGAUAGUAGGCGGGGUAACGGCCCACCUAGUCUUCGAUGGGUAGGGGUUCUGGGAGGAAGGUCCCCCACAUUGGAACUGAGACACGGUCCAA